GAUGAACGCUGGCGGCGUGCCUAAUACAUGCAAGUCGAGCGAACGGACGAGACGCUUGCUUCUCUGAUGUUAGCGGCGGACGGGUGAGUAACACGUGGAUAACCUACCUAUAAGACUGGGAUAACUUCGGGAAACCGGAGCUAAUACCGGAUAAUAUUUUGAACCGCAUGGUUCAAAAGUGAAAGACGGUCUUGCUGUCACUUAUAGAUGGAUCCGCGCUGCAUUAGCUAGUUGGUAAGGUAACGGCUUACCAAGGCAACGAUGCAUAGCCGACCUGAGAGGGUGAUCGGCCACACUGGAACUGAGACACGGUCCAGACUCCUACGGGAGGCAGCAGUAGGGAAUCUUCCGCAAUGGGCGAAAGCCUGACGGAGCAACGCCGCGUGAGUGAUGAAGGUCUUCGGAUCGUAAAACUCUGUUAUUAGGGAAGAACAUAUGUGUAAGUAACUGUGCACAUCUUGACGGUACCUAAUCAGAAAGCCACGGCUAACUACGUG
rnacentral:rRNA from 1 species